rnacentral:lncRNA from 1 species
CCAACAAUUGCCUCAGGGAUUUUUAAUGAAACAUGACAUGUUAAAAAUCAUCAUUCCCACAGUUUUUGGUCAUCCUUACACUUGAGCACAUACUUAGAGUCACCACUUACUAGUUCACAAUUAACCAAUUAAAACGAUGUUUUGAAUGUAGUAACAUGCCUUAGAGAAUUUACUCAAUUCCUUACAAGAUACUCUCUAUUUUCACACACAUUUUCUGACUACACACCCUACACUAGUUAUAUGUGAGAUGAUUGAUGUAAACAUGAAAACGAACACUCUCAUAUAUGUAUAACAAAGAGGGCAAUUUUCUGGAGUUAUUUAUCAUGUUUAGAUAUGAUCUCAUGAAUGGAAUGCUACUACUUAGAUGUAAGAACCAGUGACACCAUAUGCUCAAACCAAUUCCAAACUCCACAUAUUGAAACGCAUAACACUCAAGAUAAAGUUAAGGGUUGUAAAGGGGUUUAAGGGUAAUGGCUAACAAAGAAAGGAUAAGGAUAACAAACGUUCUGAAAGCAAUAGCAAGCAAAGUAAUGAAAUAGACACUUGGAAUUCACUUAAUAAUGCAGAAAUUAACUUUUAAACACAAAGGGAAGAUUCAAGCAACACUUAGGGCUGAAUUCAAUGUUUUGGACCUUUUCUUCAACAAACAACACUUUAGAGCUCUUUUUUCACAUAUUUUUCAACUCUUUUUCACUCUUUUCACAACUUUUCUUCUUUUCAUUCUAUUUUCCACGAAUGUUUCUUUUUUUUCUUUUUCUUUUUCUUUUCUACCCGUGCCUUAUUAAGGACUUUGGCACACACACACAUACACAAGAAUCACUUCCCCCACACUUGUUUUUCUGCAAAAGUUCAACAAAAGGAAUUCCUUCUAAAUUAUGUUUUACUAUGCUUCAAGAACAAGGGUAUGGAUGGUCCUAAUCUAGGCUAGGUGAGGAUAGUGUGGGUUAACAAAGAACAUAGGCUACAAAAGGCUCAACGGGGUUAAACUUAAACACAUAAUGAAAUAGGGCACGACAAUUUGGCUGUAGUGGUCACUACACAACUUCAUCUUGAAUAUGUGUUAUGCAAAUCCAUAGCAUGCUUUGAAUGAAAUAGGCAUGAGUUCUAGCAUUUGGAACUAAAUGAUGAAACGCCUUCUAAGUAGCAACCAAGCAAAGAAUAAUGAGAUCAUGCAACGACUUUAGAAAACAAUAGUGCACAUAUUAUUAACUCUCCAAAUAAACAUUUAGGCUCAAGUCUCACAAGGUUGUAGCUUUCAUUUGAGUUCCUUCCUUCAAGCAUGUUACAAAAUUGAUUUUUCCUUUAUGAUUGCAUGUGAAUUCAUAAAUUAUAACCACCACCAAGCAUACACCAAAGAGUCAAUCAAAUUUUCAUCCAUGUUUAUAACUCUCUUUAAUAGUCAUGUAAUUAAAAACCAAAUCCUCAUCAUUGUGUUGGAAGGUAACCUAAGACACAAAUAAACAUACAAAAACAACUCUUUAUGGGGUUUUCAAAACAAUUUUUCAAAUUUUUAUGAGAUUUUCGGAUUUUUAUGUCAAAACACACUGAAACACUCCAAAACAGCUUAAAAACACUUAAAACAGCAAGGAACAACAUUAGAAGUAAUGGGUGAUAAACUCCUACGAAUUUCAUGCAAAACAAUGGUUACCCCCCAACACUUAAAUCAAACAUUGUCAUCAAUGUUUCAAGCAUAAACUCACACAAAAACAAGCAAAUAAACAAACAACGAAUAAACAUGACAAGUAUAGCAAAGUAAAAAAAAACAGACAGAGUAGAGUUUAAGAACGUAAAUCUGGUUUUGGAGAUAGAUGAUCUUGUUGACUUUCCACAGCUUUGAUCUCGAACUGGUUUGGAAUUUUGAGCGAGGAAUAUCAUAGUUCCUUGGUUUCAAAUCAGACUCCUUCUGCUGGGUUGAUUUGAUUGUGCAGUCUGCAUUAUUCUCUGCUUGUUUCUUCUGCACGGCAGGCAAACACGAGGUAGAGGUGUUGGUCUGUUUCUUUCUUCAAUCUUUCCAAGUGCCCACCUCUUGCGUUCUUUCUCCUUGUCCCUAUCUGAGGAUGAAUUGGCA